CUCUAAUGUUAAUGUUGUCCUCUAUUAUGAGACUGAUAGAACCGGAAAUUGAUUAUUUUCACACAGCUGUAUGGUUUAUCAUGUGUCCUUCUUUAUAUAAUGUGUAAAUAUAAUGUAAAUAUCAGGUAUAAUUAUUGCUUGUCCUGGUCAUUAUUGUCUGUUUCUGGUAACAUGAUUUUUUCCUUUUUCCUUUUAAAAGCCAACUGAACCAAUGCCAGGUGUAGUAGAGAUCAGAAAAGAAGAUCGCAGAGAAUAUGUGAGGAAAAUGAAAGGUUCCAAACAGGCACUGCAGCAGACCCCUCCAGAGUGAUGUUCAAGCUUUACUGAGGAGUUUUAUGAAGUUCAUUAUCCAUCACACAGGAUGAAAUUUCAGUGUAAACUCCAGAAAUUCACCAGAAGCGCUAAAUAAACACAUACAGAAAUGUA